GACGAACGCUGGCGGCGUGCCUAACACAUGCAAGUCAACUUGAGGGUAAGGAGCAAUCUGACCUGAUGGUGGCGCAAGGGUGCGUAACGCGUAAGUAACUUGCCCAAGGUAAGGAAUAACGUCGAGAAAUCGGCGCUAAUACCUCAUAAUGCAGCGGAUCCGCAUGGAUAUGUUGUUAAAGGUUUACCGCCUUGGGAUAGGCUUGCGUCUGAUUAGCUAGUUGGUGUGGUAAUGGCACACCAAGGCUACGAUCAGUAACUGGUCUGAGAGGAUGAUCAGUCACACUGGAACUGAGACACGGUCCAGACUCCUACGGGAGGCAGCAGUGAGGAAUAUU
rnacentral:rRNA from 1 species